rnacentral:rRNA from 1 species
AGUGAACGCUGGCGGCAGGCCUAUUCAUGCCAGUUGAACGGCCGGCCAGUGGAGCUUUGCUCCUGGGUGGCGAGUGGCCGACCGGGUGGGGAUAACAGGGGAUUUUGCCCGGUGGGGGGGGUAAAGGUGGGGAAACUUAGGCUAUUACCCCUGGCCCCCUCGGGGGGAAGCCGGGGGACUUCGGGCCCGGCGCCAUUGGAUUAGGCCCUGUUCGAUUAGCUAGUUGGCGGGGUAAAGGCCCACCAAGGCGACGAUCGAUAGCUGGUCUGAGAGGAUGAUCAGCCACACUGGGACUGAGACACGGCCCAGACUCCUACGGGAGGCAGCAGUAGGGAAUAUUGGACAAUGGGCGCAAGCCUGAUCCAGCCAUGCCGCGUGAGUGAAGAAGGCCCUCGGGUUGUAAAGCUCUUUUGUCCGGGAAGAAAAGCAUCGGGCUAAUACCUCGGUGUUCUGACGGUACCGGAAGAAUAAGCACCGGCUAACUUCGUG